AAUUAGAGACCUAGUUGAUAGGAAUAAGGAGGGGGGAAGGGAAGAGUAAUAGACAUAUAAUACAAAGGCAAGAGUAACAAGAGUAGCAACACUAAAUAAAUAUGUGAGUUCCUUUCAAGGUGUGGUACAAGGCUGGGCCCGUGGUGUGUAGAAAGGGAACUUGGAGACACCUGCGAUGGCAGGUACGGUAAAGCUGCUGUUCUGUGUCCACAUCAAGCUCAGAAAGUGAACCCUAAGAACUUGGGGAAAGCAACAGAUGUUCGCUCUGCUGGGGGUCUCCUCGGACCUCAAGAUGCCCGGAACUUCCGAGCAGAACCUGACCCUAGGGGCUGACUUCCGACUCUCACAAGCCGGAAGUGAGACUUUGCAAAUGGCCGUCUGACCUGAGCCUCCGUGUUGCCGUGUUUUGCCCCCAGAAGGGAAGAGGUCCAGCUGAGUCCUGCUGGGGAGCAGGGGAGCAGGACUGAGGAGGACACUGGGAAGGUCUGGGAAACUGGACCAAGCUGGGGUCUCCACAGGAAGGGCCUUGUCCCGGAAGCCCACUUCCUCACAGGUAGGACAGGGCUGCGACCCCAGGCAGACUCGCGCUGGCUCCCGAAUUCUCCCAGAGCAGGGCAAAGGGGAGCCGGGGCAGCCGCCGCUGCAGGAAACGUGUCUGACCAAGACUUGCGACGGGCACCAGGGCCUUGUGCUGACCGAGCGGCUCUGGGAGCCCGUGGGAGGACGAGGGAGGCCAAACCGGAAACGUCUGGCUGCUCAGUGCUGAGACGGGGAGUAGAAUGGACACCGGAUGCAAGCAGCACUCUAGCAUCCAGGGCAGCAGAAGGAACGCACACCGGCCUCUGGAGAGGUGGAUGCCCUUUAGCGACAGUUGGAGCCCACGCUUGGUGUCCCAAGACCUUAACAGCUGUCACAAUAAUUAUUAUCUUCACGCCAGAAAGGGCGGAGCAGCAAAGGCAAAGACCCGAGGUGUGGAGAGUCUGCCUCUUGCUGUGAUGCGCUUGGCUUUCUCCAGCUCAGUUGGCUGUGUUUCAUUCCCCAGAAAUUACUCCCAGCUCUUCCUAGGGCUCCCAGAUGUCCACUCACCAAAUAGAAGGAAUAAUAAACCCAGCUUUUCUUUAGUCUCCA